rnacentral:rRNA from 1 species
GAUGAACGCUGGCGGCGUGCUUAACACAUGCAAGUCGAACGAACCUUCGGGUUAGUGGCGGACGGGUGAGUAACGCGUGGGAAUCUGCCCUCAGGAGGGGGAUAACGGUUGGAAACGACCGCUAAUACCCCAUAUGCCGAGAGGUGAAAUGAAUUUCGCCUGAGGAUGAGCCCGCGUCUGAUUAGCUUGUUGGUGAGGUAAUGGCUCACCAAGGCUUCGAUCAGUAGCUGGUCUGAGAGGAUGAUCAGCCACACUGGGACUGAGACACGGCCCAGACUCCUACGGGAGGCAGCAGUGGGGAAUUUUCCGCAAUGGGCGAAAGCCUGACGGAGCAACGCCGCGUGAGGGACGAAGGCCUCUGGGCUGUAAACCUCUUUUCUCAAGGAAGAAGAUAUGACGGUACUUGAGGAAUAAGCCACGGCUAAUUCCGUGCCAGCAGCCGCGGUAAUACGGGAGUGGCAAGCGUUAUCCGGAAUUAUUGGGCGUAAAGCGUCCGCAGGCGGCCUUUCAAGUCUGCUGUUAAAGCGUGGAGCUUAACUCCAUCAUGGCAGUGGAAACUGAUAGGCUUGAGUAUGGUAGGGGCAGAGGGAAUUCCCGGUGUAGCGGUGAAAUGCGUAGAUAUCGGGAAGAACACCAGUGGCGAAGGCGCUCUGCUGGGCCAUAACUGACGCUCAUGGACGAAAGCCAGGGGAGCGAAAGGGAUUAGAUACCCCUGUAGUCCUGGCCGUAAACGAUGAACACUAGGUGUCGGGGGAAUCGACCCCUUCGGUGUCGUAGCUAACGCGUUAAGUGUUCCGCCUGGGGAGUACGCACGCAAGUGUGAAACUCAAAGGAAUUGACGGGGGCCCGCACAAGCGGUGGAGUAUGUGGUUUAAUUCGAUGCAACGCGAAGAACCUUACCAGGGUUUGACAUCCUGCGAACCUUUAAGAAAUUAGAGGGUGCCUUCGGGAACGCAGUGACAGGUGGUGCAUGGCUGUCAUCAGCUCGUGUCGUGAGAUGUUGGGUUAAGCCCCGCAACGAGCGCAACCCACGUUUUUAGUUGCCAGCAUUUAGUUGGGCACUCUAGAAAGACCGCCGGUGAUAAACCGGAGGAAGGUGUGGAUGACGUCAAGUCAUCAUGCCCCUUACAUCCUGGGCUACACACGUACUACAAUGCUACGGACAAAGGGCAGCAAACUCGCGAGAGCUAGCAAAUCCCAUAAACCGUGGCUCGGUUCAGAUCGUAGGCUGCAACUCGCCUACGUGAAGUAGGAAUCGCUAGUAAUCGCAGGUCAGCAUACUGCGGUGAAUACGUUCCCGGGCCUUGUACACACCGCCCGUC